rnacentral:rRNA from 1 species
GAUGAACGCUAGCUACAGGCUUAACACAUGCAAGUCGAGGGACCGGCGCACGGGUGAGUAACACGUAUCCAACCUGCCCUUUACUCGGGGAUAGCCUUUCGAAAGAAAGAUUAAUACUCGCUGUAAAGGUUGGGGAUGCGUUCCAUUAGGUUGUUGGUGAGGUAACGGCUAACCAAGCCUUCGAUGGAUAGGGGUUCUGAGAGGAAGGUCCCCCACAUUGGAACGGAGGCACGGUCCAAACUCCUACGGGAGGCAGCAGUGAGGAAUAUUGGUCAAUGGGCGUUAGCCUGAACCAUCCAAGUAGCGUGAAGGAUGAAGGCUUAUGGGUCGUAAACUUCUUUUAUAUAAGAAUAUGUAUUAUAUAAAUAAAGAUCGGCUAACUCCGUGCCAGCAGCCGCGGUAAUAC